rnacentral:rRNA from 1 species
CACGCGGUAAACGAUGAGCACUAGACGCUGGGUGGGUGACCGUCCGGUGUCGUAGCUAACGCGCUAAGUGCUCCGCCUGGGGAGUACGGCCGCAAGGUUGAAACUCAAAGGAAUUGACGGGGGCCCGCACAAGCGGUGGAGCAUGUGGUUUAAUUCGAUGCAACGCGAAGAACCUUACCUGGCCUUGACAUCUGGGGAACCCUCAGAGAUGAGGGGUGCCGCAAGGAGCCCCAAGACAGGUGC